rnacentral:rRNA from 1 species
CCUACGGGUGUCAGCAGUGAGGAAUAUUGGUCAAUGGGCGGGAGCCUGAACCAGCCAAGUCGCGUGAGGGAAGAAGGUACUGAGUAUUUUAAACCUCUUUUGCCAGGGGACAAAGGCGGCCACGGGUGGCCGUACGCGGGUACCUUGCGAACAAGCAUCGGCUAACUCCGUGCCAGCCGCCGCGGUAAUACGGAGGAUGCGAGCGUUAUCCGGAUUUAUUGGGUUUAAAGGGUGCGCAGGCGGCGGGUCAAGUCAGCGGUAAAAUGUCGGGGCUCAACCCCGGCCGGCCGUUGAAACUGGCGUGCUCGAGUGGGAGAGAAGUAUGCGGAAUUCGUGGUGUAGCGGUGAAAUGCUGAGAUAUCACGAAGAACUCCGAUUGCGAAGGCAGCUCACUGGACUGCAACUGACACUGAGGCUCGAAAGUGUGGGUAUCAAACAGGAUUAGAUACCCCGGUAGUC